rnacentral:tRNA from 1 species
GCAGGCAUAGUUCAGUGGCAGAACCCCAGCUUCCCAAGCUGGUUAUGUGGGUUCGAUUCCCAUUGCCUGCUCCA